UACGUACCAAUUACAAAGUUAUUUUAUUUUCUUAAAGUUUCUCUUAAUAUUAUAUAGAAAAUGUCAUGGUUCUCAAGAUCUGGAGAGGUCGUGGUGUGUGUUUUUCGUCUUCGCCUCUCCCACCAGGGCGGAACUGGACCUUGAUUCCCCGCCUCUGAACCCGCCCUGAACACACACCUGUGGCUCAUUCACACUGAUCCUGGCAGACUACUUAAGAUGGCAAGAGAGGCUGCUUCCUCGCUGAUUGUCACACUGCCUAGCGUCAGUGUAGCCUAGCCUUUCAAAGUAUUCCUUGUGAUCCCCUAGAGUUUCCUCCUAACAUUGUUUUUCUCUGUGUACAGGCCUUCUAGAUUCCCUGCCAUCUGGAGUUCUGUGGAUGUGUGUGAGUGAGCCCAGUAGUAAAGUUGCAGAACAACAGAGGAAACAACAAAUACUCAUACACCAGCAACUCUGACGAUAACCUGCUGAAGAACAUUGAACUGUUUGACAAACUCGUCCUGCGAUUUAAUGGCCGCGUCCUGUUUGUCAAAGACGUGCUGGGGGAUGAGAUCUGCUGCUGGUCUUUUUAUGGCGAAGGCCGCAAGAUUGCUGAAGUGUGCUGCACUUCCAUUGUCUAUGCUACAGAGAAGAAGCAGACCAAAGUUGAGUUUCCCGAAGCCCGAAUAUUCGAAGAAACCCUCAAUAUCCUCAUCUAUGAGAACAACAGAGGAUCUGGACCAGGAGGCUUGCACCUUUUAGAUUCAAGAGGCUCCGGUUCAUCGCUGGGAACUGGUCAGUCAGAGGAAGAGGGUGCCGUG